rnacentral:rRNA from 1 species
UAAUACGGAGGGUGCGAGCGUUGUCCGGAAUCACUGGGCGUAAAGGGCGCGUAGGCGGUCCGGUAAGCGUGUGGUGAAAGCCCGGGGCUCAACCCCGGGUCUGCCGUGCGAACUGCCGGACUUGAGCACUGUAGAGGCAGGUGGAAUUCCGAGUGUAGCGGUGGAAUGCGUAGAGAUUCGGAGGAACACCGGUGGCGAAGGCGGCCUGCUGGGCAGUGUCUGACGCUGAGGCGCGACAGCGUGGGGAGCAAACAGGAUUAGAUACCCUGGUAGUCCACGCCGUAAACGAUGGGCACUAGGUGCUUCGGGGAGCGACCCCCGGAGUGCCGGCGCUAACGCAUUAAGUGCCCCGCCUGGGGAGUACGGCCGCAAGGCUG